CUGUCCUCUUCUUUUGAUCAGAAGAAGGCUGUUAGCAAGUCGAAAAGAUCGACAAAAAGUCGUUUGGUUGACAAGCAGGUGCUUGAAGGUCCUUCUCCGCCAUCUGAAACGGGAAAAGUACGAACUAUGAAACAGGACUCUCGAAAAAGGCGGAGGCGGACCGGUCUGGAUAUGUUUUCCAAGCGGACAAAAGCUAGUGAUGACGGAAUGUUAGAACGGCUGGUUCGUCUGUUUGCCAUGCUGACCUUAUAAGCCGAUCAUUGA